AACGAACGCUGGCGGCAGGCUUAACACAUGCAAGUCGAACGAUGUAGCAAUACAUAGUGGCGCACGGGUGAGUAACGCGUGGGAAUAUACCUUAUAGUGGGGAAUAACUUUGGGAAACUAAAGCUAAUACCGCAUACGCCCGAGAGGGGAAAGAUUUAUCGCUAUAAGAUUAGCCCGCGUGAGAUUAGGUAGUUGGUGGGGUAAUGGCCUACCAAGCCUACGAUCUCUAGCUGGUCUGAGAGGAUGAUCAGCCACACUGGAACUGAGACACGGUCCAGACUCCUACGGGAGGCAGCAGUGGGGAAUAUUGGGCAAUGGACGAAAGUCUGACCCAGCCAUGCCGCGUGAAUGAUGAAGGCCUUAGGGUUGUAAAGUUCUUUCGCCGAUGAAGAUAAUGACGGUAGUCGGAGAAGAAGCCCCGGCUAACUUCGUGCCAGCAGCCGCGGUAAU
rnacentral:rRNA from 1 species